rnacentral:misc_RNA from 1 species
AAGUCGUAACAAGGUCUCCGUAGGUGAACCUGCGGAGGGAUCAUUACUGAGUGAGGGCCCCCGGCCCGACCUCCAACCCUUUGUAAAGCCGACCCUGUUGCCUCGGGGGACUCCGGCGUCUACGGGCGCCGGGCCCCCGGUCGGACCCCCAACUCUGCGUUCUUUGCGUCUGAGUCUUUGAAUAUAAAUCAAUUAAAA